rnacentral:rRNA from 1 species
UACGUAGGGGGCUAGCGUUGUCCGGAAUCAUUGGGCGUAAAGGGCGCGUAGGCGGCCUGGUAAGUCCGCUGUGAAAGUCGGGGGCUCAACCCUCGAAUGCCGGUGGAUACUGUUGGGCUAGAGUGCGGAAGAGGCGAGUGGAAUUCCUGGUGUAGCGGUGAAAUUCGCAGAUAUCAGGAGGAACACCUAAGGCGAAGGCAGCUCGCUGGGACGUAACUGACGCUGAGACGCGAAAGCGUGGGGAGCAAACAGG